AAAUACAAAUAUUGCAUAUAGCAAAAUGAUAUCAGAUUGGUGUGUUGUUUUGGUUUUAUCAAUUUCAAAAUUAGUUUUUGGGCUGAAUUUUACAGAGCCAGUUAAUUAUAUAUUGAAAAUAGGAGAAAAUAAUUCAUCUAGACUAUUAGAUUGUUCAGUUGGUCUUUCUGUUGAAUUAAUUAAAAAAAUUGAUUGGACAUACAAUGGUAUUGUUAUUAAUAAAAAACCUAAUGUAACAUUUACUGACAAAGGUCAAAAACUUAUUAUUGGUCAUUAUAAACCCCAUAAUUCUGGUCGCUAUGGGUGUAAAAUUACAGCUGUAAGUGAAGAAUCUGUUGAAAGGAUAUUUGAUCUACUGCCCACAUCAGAUCUGAUGCCGAGAAUAAAAAAUGAUAUUUCGUUGCUUGUUGAGUUAGUGAUGAAUAAAUUAGAUUUGGAUUGUACUGCUGUAGGUGCUUCACCUAUUAGUAUCACAUGGUUAAAAAAUGAUAAACUGAUUGAAGCAAGAUCUAACUUACGUUAUUCCUUCUCACCAAAUUUUUUAAAACUAAGUAUAAAAGAGGUGCGACUCGAUGAUGCUGGUAUUUACAAAUGCAUCUUGGAAAAUAAAUAUGGCAAGAUAGAACAUGUAAUGACUGUUGAAAUAUAUGAGAAAGUAUUUUCUAAACCAAUAAUAUAUUCGACAGACAAACAUAAAGUUUUUUAUGCCGACUAUGGUCAAAAUUUAACUGUCCCUGUUUAUGUUACUGCAUUUUUACCCUACCCUCAUUUUGAAAUGUUAUAUGUUUACAACAAGACAAUUCCAAAUACAAAUGAAACUAAAAUUAAUGUAAGGAAACGACCAACAUUUAGAGAACUAACUGUCUUAGAGAUUAGUCAGAGAAAAGGUACAUCAAUAAAUCAUAUCAGACUAGAUUAUUUUUUCACUAAUAUUUCAGAGCAAGAUUUUGGUAAUUAUACAUUAAUGGCUGGAAAUAAGUAUGGUUAUGAUAGAUACCCAUUUCAAAUAUUGCAUACAAAAUAUAUGCAAACAACUGUCUCCCCUCCAAUGAAAGCAAACAUUAAUAAAAUCUACAAAGAGGAAUCCGUAGAAAAAACAGUUAUUUUUAUUGUCAUAGCUUCAAUGCUUGCUGGGCUAAUUUUUGUUGCAUUUUUUUUUUUUUUUAUUUGUCGUGUUCGUAGCAAAGAAAAAUUUAAAAACAGUAACAUCAACUACAUCAAACCUUCACAAACUGUGAUUCUUAAUCUUGGAGAUAAUAAUACUAGUGGUGUUACCAUGGUUACUUCUGUUUCUGCUUUCUCCUAUGCCAAUCGACGUUUCAGGCAUUCACUCAAUAAUAAUCCAGUAAAUGAUAAGCAAAAAUACAAUUUAAAAAUAGCUCCAGAUCCUGCUUGGGAGAUAAAACUUGAACAGUUAGAAACAGAUUGUUUAUUGGGAGAGGGAGCUUUUGGUAGAGUUUUUCGUGCAACAGCAAGAGAUUUACCGAAUCGCACUGGAGUUCAAACAGUUGCUGUCAAAAUGCUGAAGGAAGAUUGUUGUGAACAAGAUUUAAAAGAUUUUAUAUCUGAAAUAGAAGUAAUGAAAUCUAUAGGAAAACAUAUCAAUAUUCUGAAUUUACUUGCAGUGUCAUCUCAGCAAGGAAAGUUAUAUAUAGUGGUUGAAUAUUGUCGCCAUGGUAAUUUGCGGUCUUUUCUGAAAGACAAUCGACCUGUUACGCAAGCUAAUUCUGUGAUAACCAAGAAAAUAACAUCAUACGAUUUAAUGUCGUUCUGCUUACAAGUUGCAAGAGGAAUGAAUUAUUUGGCCUCAAAAAAAUGCAUCCAUCGAGACAUAGCUGCUCGAAAUGUUCUUGUUGGUGAAGGUUAUUUACUGAAAGUUGCUGAUUUUGGACUUGCACGUGAUGUUCGUGAACAUGAUUAUUAUAGAAAAUGCACAGAUGGGCGAUUACCUGUCAAAUGGAUGGCAAUUGAAGCUUUGUUUGAUCGUGUUUAUACUACUCAAAGUGAUAUAUGGUCAUUUGGAAUUUUGGCAUGGGAAAUUGUAACAUUUGUUUAGGAUCAGUCUUUUUAUAUGUGGAAGUGAUUGUGUUAUUCAGGAAGUGGUUGUACUGAUUACUAGAUAUAUGUUUACACAUGUUCCAAGUUUUGUCAAGUUUUAGAGUUAAAGUAUUUUUCAAGGUGGAUCGCCUUACCCUGGAAUUGCAUUGGAAAAUAUGUUUGAUUUAUUAAAGCAAGG
rnacentral:misc_RNA from 1 species